AGAAAAUUGGUGGAUUUCAAGUAAUCAAGCCAUCAAAGGUAGUGAAUCCUCCGAAAAUGGGCAAAGAAAUUGCACCCGAGGAUCAAUAGUCAGAGUACUCCAAAAUUCAAACUUCUGAUACAGCUUAGGAUAGUCGGUAGAUAGCUCAUUUCGUUGCGGGCUCCAGUUAGACUUGCAUCCUUAAAAACUGUAAGUUUACCGCUUUUGAUACUUUUGGUCGUUCGUGGGCCCACGUGUCACUAUAAAUUAAAUUUUAUGCUUUGGUUAUC